CUUUAGUUUCAAUAAUCUCUCUAGUUGUUUUUUUCCUUAAAGAAAACCAAUAAUUUGAUGCUUCUGACACAUAGGAACAUCUUUUUCAUAACCACAGAAUAUGUAAUGAGAAUGAAAUGCGAAGCUACACACUGCAUCAGUUAAGCUUAAAACCCUGUUAUCAGCCAAAACAGUAAUCACUGUAGUAAUUAUCUAAUUACUACAUAAUCCAGGUGGUGACUUUUUUUAGCCAAUUAUACACAACAAAAUCACCCAUUAGCACUUGACUUGUGUGGCCUGACCGUAAGCGAGCAUCGACAAACCUAUUGUUAGUUUUACAGUUGAUUUUUAUAAUCAGCAUUAAAUUUGUUAAUUAAUUUUUGGCUUCACCUGAAAUUUAAUCACCUGUGAAUGGUUGUAAAAAAAAAAAAAAAAAGCCCAAAUCUGUCCUCUGAGUUACCCUAAACUGAUUAACACUACAAGCAGCAAAGUUAUUAUACAGCCAGGCAUGGUUAGCUAUACUGAAAUGCUGCUCUAGCACUCAUGAACAUCAUAUUUGGACUCGUGUGUGUCUGCGAACAUGAAUAAAUGCGCUUCGUUGAGCUUUACAGUAUUAAAGCAAUGCUGCUAAAAAACUGAAGCCUCCUCGACUUUGAUCAGUCCCUCAUCGCGUCCAUCACACAGCAGCAAGUGUUGGCUUCAGUCUGUAGCUUUAUAAUGCCCACGUCCUUUCAAAUGUCUAGUAGUCAGUCUAUUUUGGCAGUGUGAGCACAGCUUUUCAAAUCAAGCCACCAACAUUUUAACAAGAAGCGAGGACCACUUGUCCUGCGACAUUCUACUGCGUAAGACCCCCUACUUUACUGUUACACCACACUCUCCCGCUCGACCCCCUACUUUACUGUUACACCACACUCUCCCGCCUUUCUAAGUCCGACCAUGUGCGAGUCCAGAACAACAGAUUAACUAAAACGUCCUAUAUGAUUCAGCAAUUAUCAGGAGCGCUGCGAGACAAUUUAUUCACCAUGAGGCGACACCAAGGACAAAUAUUUGACACUGUAAUGAUGAAGGCUGGAACAUCAAAAAACUUCCAUCCUUGCUGCUUUUUAUUAAC
ensembl:lncRNA